rnacentral:rRNA from 2 species
UACGUAGGGGGCUAGCGUUGUCCGGAAUCAUUGGGCGUAAAGAGCGUGUAGGCGGCCCGGUAAGUCCGCUGUAAAAGUCAAAGGCUCAACCUUUGAAUGUCAGUGGAUACUGCCGGGCUAGAGUCCGGAAGAGGCGAGUGGAACUCCUGGUGUAGCGGUGGAAUGCGCAGAUAUCAGGAAGAACACCAACGGCGAAGGCAGCUCGCUAGGACGGUACUGACGCUGAGACGCGAAAGCGUGGGGAGCGAACAGG